rnacentral:rRNA from 1 species
UACGGGGGGGGCAAGCGUUGUUCGGAAUUACUGGGCGUAAAGGGCUCGUAGGUGGCCAACUAAGUCAGACGUGAAAUCCCUCGGCUUAACCGGGGAACUGCGUCUGAUACUGGAUGGCUUGAGUUUGGGAGAGGGACGCGGAAUUCCAGGUGUAGCGGUGAAAUGCGUAGAUAUCUGGAAGAACACCAAUGGCGAAAGCAGCUCUCUGGGACGGUACUGACGCUGAGACGCGAAAGCGUGGGGAGCGAACAGG